rnacentral:lncRNA from 1 species
GACAGAACCAGAAUAGGGGAGGUCAUACAGCUUAUGGUCAGAGACAGAAUCAGUAUAGUGGUCAAGGGCAGGCUCAGCAGGGGCAGACUCAGCAGUUUCAGCAGCAACCUAGACAGUGGCAGAAUCGUCAGAGGGGACAGGGACGUUAUCCAGCGUAUGGGGGUAACCCCAAUAUGAUUCCGGUGGCUCCUUGUGCUACAUGUGGUAGACACCAUCCGGGCAGAGCUUGUUAUAAACAGACUGGGGCAUGUUUCUCGUGUGGUUCGAUGGAUCAUAGGUUAAAGGACUGUCCACGUAAUAAUGGUGAUGGAGGUAGUGGCAGUGGAGGUCAGCCGAAUCAGCAGAAUCCUACAGGCAGAGUCUUCGCAUUGACUUCUUCUCAGGCAGCAACUAAUCCAGGUACUGUUUCUGGAACGGUUUUUGUGGGUACACGUGAUGCUUAUGUGUUAUUUGAUACUGGUUCGACUCAUUCGGUGGUAUCCCUAUCAUAUGUUCGUUAUCUUGGUGUUUUACCUUCAUUAUUAUCUCCGCAUAUGUCUAUUGCUACCCCUAUGGGGACUUCUGUUAUUAUAACUGAUGUGUACCGAGAGNUACAUCCAAGGUUGAGUCUCGUCNNNNNNNNNNNNNNAAUAUAAAGCAAUUUUUUUAGAAAAAAUUAGAGUUUUUUUUUUUAUUACAUUGUAUGUUGAAUUUGUUUGUAUCUACUUACAUCUGAUUCUAACACAGUAAAUUUGAAAAAAAAAGUAUAGAGGAUUAUGCAGUUGUGAGUGAAUAUGCAGAUGUGUUUCCCGAUGAGUUACCAGGUUUGCCACCGCAUCGAGAAGUGGAGUUUAGUAUUGAACUUGUUCCAGGUGCAGAGCCUAUUUCUAAGACGCCGUACAGGAUGGCCCCACUAGAGUUGCAUGAGUUGAAAGAGCAGUUGCAAGAGUUAUGAAAAAAAAAAAAAAUCAAGUGAUAAUAUUUUUAUUGUUUUUUAAAGAAUUAAAGUUUUUUUUAUUUUUUAAAAUUAAAAAUAUUUUUAUGAAAAAUUGAAAAAUGAGCAUAUUUUUCUGAAAAGCCCAAAAAACCGGCAUCAAUAUUGGAGUCAUGUGUCCAUUUGCUUUAAUUUUCAACAAGGACUUAUUGUUUAUAAAGGAAAUAUUAUUUAUAAGUGAAAAGUGACUUAUAUUCAUGUAUUUGGAUAAUCUUUUUGAUAUUUACAAUAUGAGAUAAAAAAAAUUAUUAUAUAGUAAAAACUAUUACAAAAUUAUCAUUUAAAGUGUAAUUUAGAUUUUUGUAAAAUCAAUUUUUGAAGAUGAAAAUAGGUCACUAGAAAAGAGAGGAUUCUAAACUUUUUUCACUUGUAAGUUUAAAGUUAAAUUAAACUUUUUUUUAACAAAAUCAUAAACAGUAUUGUUAAGUUAUUUCUCAUAUUUAAACCUGGAGCUUAGACUUAAAAGUCUAGCCAAAAACAGUAACUCUUUUGAACAAUAAGCAUGGAAUCAUAUAAUUUUAUUGUUCUCCAUAGAAAAGUCCAAGUUAGGAGCGCCGAGUCUUAUAUUCGUAGAUCUUAUAUCAUUUUCAAUUUUAAAUUGAAAGAUAUUUAUUUGUGUAUAAACUGAUGACUUACAAAAAUAAGAUACAAACUAACCUAAAAUAUAUAAGAUGUAGGUAGGAUGAACUUUUUUGAAUAAAUUUUUUUUAAUUUUUCUAAUAAAAAUUACUCCCUCCGUCCCUCCCAAUUCUUAUCAUUUGGGUUGGGCAUUGGGUUGGGCACGGAGGUUAAGAAAUAUGUAUAAAGUAGUGGAAAAGAGAAAGAAAAGUGGGUGAAGUGGUGGGACCCAUUGAUUUUAAUGUAUAAAAAGAAGAUAGUGGAGUAAAAGUAGUGUGAAAAGGAAAGAAAGGAGAAGAAAUUGUUUGCCAAAUUUUCAAAGUGUGAGUUUUGGUUGGAGCAGGUUGCAUUUCUAGGGCAUAUUGUGUCUGGUAAAGGAAUUGAGUUGGAUCCUGCGAAAGUCGAGGCUAUCACAAAUUGGCCAAGACCUAGCAAUGUUACAGAGGUGAGGAGUUUCUUGGGUUUGGCGGGCUACUACAGGCGCUUUGUUGAGGGGUUUUCGUCCAUAGCCUUGCCAAUGACUCAACUAAUGAGGAAGGGUGCUAAGUUCGAGUGGAAUGAUGAUCGUGAGAAGAGUUUCCAAGAGCUAAAGAAGAGGUUGGUGUCAGCUCCUAUACUUGUUUUACCAUCAGGCAGUGGGGGAUAUCAGGUUUACAGUGAUGCUUCUAAGAGAGGUUUGGGGUGUGUUCUUAUGCAGCAUGGGAAGGUGAUUUCUUACGCCUCUAGACAGCUUAAGCCCUAUGAGGUGAAUUAUCCGACCCAUGACUUGGAGUUAGCAGCAGUGGUAUUUGCAUUGAAGAUUUGGAGACAUUAUCUAUAUGGAGAGACUUGUGAUAUCUUCACUGAUCACAAGAGUCUUAAGUACAUUUUUACGCAGAAGGAGUUGAACAUGAGGCAGAGGAGGUGGCUUGAACUUCUUAAGGAUUAUGAUGCUAAGAUAUUAACUAUUUUGGGUAAGUUUUGAAAUGUAAAGAAUUGGAUGGGACAUUCCAAAAAAGACUGUGUAAAAAGACUGUGUAAAGAAAUGGGAGGGACGGAGGGAGUAUCAAUUAUCGUAUAUAAUCAAAAAAAUCAUUGUGUAUCGGAUCAUAAAAUUGUAUCAAUAUACUUACUUUCAUAAGAAAUUGUUUUCGGCAUAUAUACAAGUUCAUGUGUCAAUCUGACUUUUAUUUUAGUUAUAUGAAAUUUGAUGAACUUGUAUCACUAGAGUUUAAUCUUGGUUUAUAGUUCAAAAAUAAUACUCAUAUUUGUUUAUUUAUUAUAGUACAAGUGUACAAUACUAUGAUCAAUAUGAAGUACGUGAAAAUUUAAGUUAAUAAAGAUCGUGAAAUGUUAUCAUAUUUAUAUAUAUAUAAUAACACAUUACGUGUUAUGACAUAUAUAAAGAAUACAUAUGCGUGUGUGUGAAUGUAACGUGUAUAUAUAUAUAUAUGACCCAUUAAAAUUAGAGUUGUGACUUGUGAAGAACUGUAAUAUCUGCAUUUAUUUAUUAUUAUUAUUAGUAAAUCUGAAUUAGAAUAGUAUUAAUAAUAUUAGUUUGGUAAUUUGGUUUGAAAAAGAAUUAGUAAUAUAAGUUAGUAAUAAUACUUAGUAUUUUAAAAUGAUUUGAUUUAGAAUAGAUUUAGUAAUUAGAUAAUAAAACGGUUAAUAUUAAUUAUUAGAGUUAUAGUAGUAAUAGGAUAUCCAGGAGGACUGUAUAUAUUCACAUAAGACCUUCGCAUCAGAACACAAUCUUAUUAAGCCCUAGAUGUUAAGAAACGGAGGCGCGUAGACGAGAAGGAAAGAAACACAGGAGCAGGAUUUUUGAUUCAUUAAUUCAGGUAGAUUACAUACUUAUAAAUUUAUUAUUAUUAUAAUGAAUGCUUCUUGUACGGUGAUGAACCAUUAGCUCCUGCCAUGAUAUAUGAUUGUUGAGGUGCAUAUUAAUACUCACACCCUCGCAUGUGCCAUGUUUAGUACAGUAAUUCACAGUGGGUAAAGUUAAUCUAGUGUACGAGUACUGUGACUGAAGCACGAGCAUGAGUUAUAUUACAGGACACGCAUUCUAUCACGUAUUAUGUAGUUAUUAAGCCGAUGGCUUGUAAUUAAUUAUAAUUUUAUAUUUAGGUUCGGAGUCGGGAGUUUAGCGAAUUAUUUCCGGAUUCUCGUGAGUGUUCGAUUAGCUAUUUUCGAGGUACGGAUUCUAUUCAUUUUAUUCAGCGCUACUCCUUUCGAUAUUAAAUGAAUUUGAUCUGUCCUAUUUUAAUCCGUCCGAUUUGCUAAGUUGAUUUGUGCUAUUCAUUUGACUGUUUUGAUUUCCGAAAAUUAUUUUAAAAAUCUGUUUUGAGAGAUUGAAAUAUUUGUGAUGCGGUUUUCAAAGAAUUUACAAAAUAUGAUUUGUUCAGUUUAUUUGAAAUAUAGGUACCAUGUGAUUUUAAAGUUGUGAAAAUUGUUUUGUUUGAACCCUUAGAGAGAUAUAGGGUAUACCGAGUUUCCCAGCUGUGGGGGUACUACAGCCAUGUCUUUGCGGCACCAUUGACAUGACACUUCCGUGACAGUGUGAUUGGUCACGGCGUAUCCUUCUGUUAGCUCUUGGGAGGAGUUUUGGCCAUUUUGAUUAUAUGUUCAGGAUACGUGGGUGCACCCAGUUCAGUUGAUAUGAUUGGUGAUUUGGCGGUGACGUUGUAUAUGCCGUACACGUUAUCCGAUUUGUUGCACACAUUAGGUACCCUAUGAUGUGUGUAUCUGUAUAUGUUCUGAUAUGAUCUCGGUAUGAAAUAUCCUAACCCCUUGUUGCUUCAGCCUGUUAUUUUAAAAAAACUACUGAUUUAUAUUACUGUCAAAAUAUUUUAAGUGUUUCUGGUUUUAUAAAUGCUUCCAAUCCGUACUGGGCAUUUGGCUCAUGCCGUAUUCUUCUUCUGGCAGGUACUUAGGGGGAUUCGGGACUGUGUGAUGGAGAGCAGCCCAUUCUUUUCGCAUUUUUAGGAUUUAUGGACUUCUAGCAUUUAUUCGGAUUUUAUUGUUAGAGAUUCUAUUUAUUCGCAUUAUUCGGAUUUAAUUGUUUUGGAGGAUUUACAUCAUUUUAGGAAUUAUUAGACCUGUUUAUUAUUGUUUCGAAUAUAUUAGCGCUCUGUUUGCAGGUUUUGGGUUUGUAGGUAACUCCUCGUCUUAAUUUAAGAUGGGGGUGUUACAAAGUUGGCAUCAGAGCGAGGUUCUUUCCUGUAGAAAACCUAUUUAGGUUGACCUGUGAGAAUGGGUAGACGUUAGGAUGGGUAUUCUGUUUAAAUUCAUUUCAACUGCUCACUUCAUCUGCGCAAUUCAUUUGAUAUCUGCUUGUACUAUUUUCUUAUCUAAUCUCGUUUCCUUAUUCGUUUCGUUUCUUAUAUUGUAGAUGCCUCCUAGACGUGAGAAUCCUAGGCGCGAUAACGUUAACAUUGGUGCAGCUGAGUUAGCUCAGUUGAUAGCUCAAGCAGUGACUCAGGCUUUGCAACAAGCUGGGCAAAAUCAGGGAAACCCAGGAAAUAAUGAAGAGCAACAAAAUCAGCCUGAUGCACUAGCUUGGUUCGAUAGGUUUGUUAAGCAGAAACCGGAUUCUUUUCAUUCAGCACCACAACCUAUUGAUGCUGAAAAUUGGAUUGUUCAUCUUGAGAAGAUUUUUGAUGCAUUGGGAUGUGAUGACGCUACAAAGGUGAGGUUGGCUGUGUAUAAGUUAGAGGGGGAUGCUCAGAGGUGGUGGAGAGGAGUGAAGACUAUCAGGGGUGAUGCAUUUGUUGAGGCAUUGACUUGGCAGGGGUUCACAGAUUUGUUUUAUGAGCAGUACUUCUCAAAGGCAGAGAAGGAUGGUUAUAUGAGAGAGUUUAAUUCUAUUGAGCAGAAGCAUGAUGAGAGUAUCACUGAGUAUCUUGCGAGAUUUAUCAGGUUGGCGGGAUUUGCUGGGACUUCUGCAGGGACUGCAGCACAGCAGGCAGAAAAAUUUAAAUGGGGGCUGAAGUCGUCUCUUAGGAUGUCUAUCAUUUCUUCCAGAUUUCAGAAUGUAGCAGAGGUGGCUGAUGCAGCCAAGGAUGUUGAGAAGGAGCGUAUAGACUUCCGGACUAACAGAUCUGACAGUGGUCGUAAGAGGGGUAGAGAUGAUCAGCUAGUCACAGCACAGGGUAGACAGGGGUAUGGUGGUCAGAACAGUCGGUAUGGACAGUGGCGUGGACAGAACCAGAAUAGGGGAGGUCAUACAGCUCAUGGUCAGAGACAGAAUCAGUAUAGUGGUCAGGGGCAGGCUCAGCAGGGGCAGACUCAGCAGUUUCAGCAGCAGCCUAGACAGUGGCAGAAUCGUCAAAGGGGACAGGGACGUUAUCCAGCGUAUGGGGGUAACCCCAAUAUGAUUCCGGUGGCUCCUUGUGCUACAUGUGGUAGACACCAUCCGGGCAGAGCUUGUUAUAAACAGACUGGGGCAUGUUUCUCGUGUGGUUCGAUGGAUCAUAGGUUAAAGGACUGUCCACGUAAUAAUGGUGAUGGAGGUAGUGGCAGUGGAGGUCAGCCGAAUCAGCAGAAUCCUACAGGCAGAGUCUUCGCAUUGACUUCUUCUCAGGCAGCAACUAAUCCAGGUACUGUUUCUGGAACGGUCUUUGUGGGUACACGUGAUGCUUAUGUGUUAUUUGAUACUGGUUCGACUCAUUCUGUGGUAUCCCUAUCAUAUGUUCGUUAUCUUGG